rnacentral:rRNA from 1 species
GAGUUUGAUCAUGGCUCAGAUUGAACGCUGGCGGCAUGCCUUACACAUGCAAGUCGAACGGCAGCACGGGAGCUUGCUCCUGGUGGCGAGUGGCGAACGGGUGAGUAAUGCAUCGGAACGUAUCCUGGAGUGGGGGAUAACGUAGCGAAAGUUACGCUAAUACCGCAUAUUCUGUGAGCAGGAAAGCGGGGACCGUUCGGGCCUCGCGCUCUUGGAGCGGCCGAUGUCGGAUUAGCUAGUUGGUGAGGUAAAGGCUCACCAAGGCGACGAUCCGUAGCAGGUCUGAGAGGAUGAUCUGCCACACUGGAACUGAGACACGGUCCAGACUCCUACGGGAGGCAGCAGUGGGGAAGUUUUGGACGAACGGGGGCGAACCCUGAUCCAGCCAUGCCGCGUGAGUGAAGAAGGCCUCGG